CUCAGAAAGCAGAAUCAGAACUGGACAUGAGCUGAGAAAACCAGAUACUUAGAAAACACCAACCUCAGAUUGGGUUAUGGAGUGCUUCGCUUUUGAUUAUAAAACAACUACCACCAUUCUUUUCUGGGAAUAGCAUUCCCUGUCUUGCCCAAGCUUUGAUUUGAUCCUACUCCUGAUCAGUACUAGGGCCUAGACCUGCUCAGUUUUGGAACUGGAUGGAUUCUCUCCUUCAGCAGUCUGAACUUAGCCCCUGAGGAAGAUGGGAUUCCACUGUGAUAAAAGGAGCACAGAACAGGGAAUCCAGAGACCUCAAUCAAUCAAUCAAUUAUAAUGAGGGGUGGACCUCGCUAUAUCAAAGCCCUG